rnacentral:rRNA from 1 species
GAUGAACGCUGGCGGCGUGCUUAACACAUGCAAGUCGAACGGAAAGGCCUCUGCUCGCUGGGGUACUCGAGUGGCGAACGGGUGAGAAACACGUGGGUGAUGUGCCCUGCACUUCGGGAUAAGCCUUGGAAACUGGGGCUAAUACCGGAUAGGACAGUGGGUUGGAUGCUGUUGUGGAAAGUGUUUCGGUGUGGGAUGAGCUCGCGGCGUAUCAGCUUGUUGGUGGGGUAAUGGCCUACCAAGGCGUCGACGGGUAGCCGGCCCGGGAGGGUGUACGGCGACAUUCGGACUGGGAUACGGCCCAGACUCCUACGGGAGGCAGCAGUGGGGAAUAUUGCACAAUGGGGGAGAGCCUGAUGCAGCGACGUGGCGUGGGGGAUGACGGCCUUCGGGUUGUAAACUCCUGUCGCUAGGGACGUAGCGUGGUUGUGACGGUACCUGGAGAAGAAGCACCGGCUAACUACGUG